rnacentral:lncRNA from 1 species
AUGCAUCUCUAGUAUGCACCUCCGAAGACCAAUAAAUACAUUGCAAACACUUUAGAAUUUCAAAUUUCUGAAAGAAUAUUAUAUUAGUAUUCAACAAAGAGCCCAAACAAAAUCAGUUUAAAAAAAUCUGGCUACAUAGCUUUGAUCCACCACAUAAUCACAUGAAGGAGGUGAGGAAUAUAUAGUUUCGGGUGCAUAACCAGAACAUGUAACCUAGAUCAGGAGCCACACUGAGACCCUGAAACCUUGAAGGAAUAGCAAGCUUCCGGACACAUCUGAAAUCUAGAAUAGCAAUGUACAUACUGGACAGAGUAAAACAAAAGAGUAGAGACUAGAGACCAAUAUCGGAGCCUCAGAUGUAAUCCUCGUUCCCCGAGUGACAAAACAGUUUUUUGCUCUCCCUAUUUACAAUUAGUUUGCUUUUGGAAAUUGGAUAACUACUUACUCCCAAAUGUACAAAAUAGUGAACUGAUAAA